CUGUUGAUAUCGUAAAAGACUUAUUCUCCUUUCUAAUCCUAUCCAAUAAAAAGUGGUGGAUUAAAACCAAUCCAGGCCUAGAGCCAAACAUAGAAUCUAUCCUGGAUACCUUGUUUCUCUGAGCAUCGCCUACUCCUUCGCUCCCACAUAGAAGCAUCUCUCUUCUCUACUCCUGAAUCUUUGAUCUGCCUCCCACCUGAAGUAGCCCAGGCAACCUAAGACCAUCCAGCGAGCACCCAAGUGGCACAAAGCAGCUGUAAAAUGCACCUCUACUGCUUCUGGAUACUCUCUGAUUUCAGCAUGAAAGAACUCACCCCGGCUAAAGAAAUAGCAUUCUCUCUCUUUUACUUCUGGCUCUGACCACUUCAAUUCAUACAGAAGAGCAAGGCUUGCUGCCUGCUUCCAGUCUGGGAUGCUUCCCGAGGCACCAGACUUUACUUGCACGAGUUAUGAGCCAAGAUGGAUUUUCACUCUCAGGCACAGCACCCUGCAGAUCCAGUUAGUCCGAGGGGCUGAUGAAACAGUAUUGAUGCUGCUUGAACUCAUGUUUAUAAACCCCAAACUGAACAAAAAGGGAGACAGGGUGUGGCUGACGGAAUUCGAGGCUGGAACUUUCCGUGAACUGAGACAGAGCUCCAGCAGCUUACUGAGAAAAUUAGGAGUAGCAGCUGAAUCAGGGGUUGGUGGGGGGUUUCUAGUGAACCUCUGUGACUGCAUGGAAUUUGUGUUCUCCACACUUGCAUCGACCCAUGAGUCAUAGUGGUCAAUAACACUUGUGUGGCGAGAUCCUGUGAAGUGGAACACACACGCACACACACACACACACACCAGAAACUGACAAGCCUGCCAACAACCAAUGUGUCAGAUUCAGCAGCUUGCUAAACCCCACUGUGGGCCUGACAAAGCUGCUGUGGUAUUGAAUGCACAAUGAGUCUCUCCAAUGACCAUGUCUUCAAAGGCAUAUUGGCUUGGAACCAAUAGUUCUUGGUGGCUGGGGUGUCAGCCAAAGCUAAUGCACCUUUUCAUUCAUUAUUUGUCGCCUGGUUACCAGUAUGAUAAAAACAAGACCAUAGAUUUCUCCUGGGAUUGCACUGCAUUUCCAAUUCAUACGCCUGUCAGAAGCCUUCUUCUAGCAUUACAUUUUUUUUAAAUGACAGCUGAACACAUUAACUAGUCAAAUUUAAGGUCACUGGCCGCUCUUGCUAACAUGAAAAAAAAUUGCAUAUAAAAAUAAAGAGUUGGCCAGGGCAUUCCUCCA
rnacentral:lncRNA from 1 species